rnacentral:lncRNA from 1 species
GGCUGGUGGAGCAGAGGUGCUUCCAGAGCCCGGACUCGGAAGCCGCCAACGGGACAAACUUCUCCUGUCACUCCAGGAUCAGACUAGCCCAGCGUCACAGACGGAAGCAGGAAACGCACUGGGAGCCUGGGGUGGGGCAGGCGCGCGGUUGCCAGCCCUAGGAAACCUCACCUUCCUCGUCUGUGAAAUGGGGACGGACAGGGCGCCCUUGAAAGAAGGUGGAGCAGGACCUCCAGCCGGGGUCGUGGCCUUGGUCAGAUCUUAGGUGGUGUGGAAGACGGUGAGAAAGGACGGACAUUUCUUUCAAUUGCAGUGUGACGGGUGCCCGGGGCACCACGUGGGGAGUGGGUAGAACAACCCUCAGGCCGUGCCGCAGACACUCUGGGGAUCCAGACGCCAGUGAUUCACCUUUUCGGAAAGUGAGUCAAAUCCACGGGGGGAAGUGGGGCGGAGGAGCGGGAUCCGGGAAGAAAGCCCUGACCCAGAGGCGCGCCCCUCAAGUGUCCAGGGAGGUUGAGCCGUAAACGCCACCUUGGCUCCCUCCUGAGUCGGGAAGGUGGCCGAGGGCGCCCAGGCUGUCUGGUGGCGGAGUCUCCACUCCGAGAGGUGAUGUCCUCCGGGAAGCUCCCCGUGGGCUCCACGCGUCGCCCCUGCCUGGCCGGAGGCCAGCGCCCUCCCCGCUCCCCACGGGUCCCCUCUGGCCCGCGCAGCCUCCGCGACCUCCCUGGCGCCGGCGGCCCGGCUCCGUCAACAGCGCGAGGUGUCGGGUUGCGCCGGUUGUUUGGGCCACACUGGGAGGCCCAGUGCAGGACAAUGACGGCCCCAGGCCAAAAGAAAACAACCCCACCCCCUGCGGCGCCACGGGACGCGGAGCCCAGUGAGUGGCAGCAGAGGCCCUGCGCAGGCAGGGAGCCGGACCCGACCCCGCGGGUCCCAAAGUCAGCGGGAAAAGCGGGUGCCACAGCCUCGCCCUUGUAAGAAACGCCCGCCGAGCGAGGUGGCCAAGAUUUCAAGAUUUGUUGUAUGCAUCAUUGCAGAUAGUGGCCUUAUUGCUCGCCCCAUGACAUCAUGCAAUGAGCACCCGCCCCUCCGUGAUUAAUUAUAAGGCCCACACCUGAGCCACCCCAAAUUUUCAGCGUCUCUCACUUCUAGAAAUCUGAGGCGUCGGGAUCAGGAUCUUGGCCAUUAGGAAGGGAUGUCCUGUGCUGUCAAAGAAGCCUCAGAAACUCGCCUCCCGCCCGCCUUAGAAUCCACAAGGCACUUGGGGUCCCCAGGUCUUAGUUUGCGCUCUGUAGUGAGGUUCUCAGCUUGGACUGUUCCCAACAUUCUCAGAAUAGCGCCUGGCACUGCAUAGACACUACUGGGGUUCAAGGACAAAGUUCGCUAAGAUUUAGAAAGGGGAAAGGUUGCUUUUAUACGAAGUAUUUGUGCAUUUUUCAAUGUGAAAUUCAAGGUGUUUAUUUCAAAAUGUAGAUUUAAAUGUAUGCCUUGAUAUUAAAAUAACGAAUCUAUAAAUGUGAAAAUGCAAACUAUGAAUUUUGCACACAUACUUUUGCUGGAACAGCCAACUAGCCACUGCCUAUCACUUUACACUUCAAAAUGCCAAUCACCCAGCAAGUUCUGCCUUCCCUGUGAGCCCAACUCCUACAUUUUCUAAUUUUCUGUGCCUCCCUAAUUUUGCUACAGAAUUAUUUCCCCUGCUGGUCUGUACAUUCCCAGUAAUAUGUAUAGCACCCAGCAGCUCUCUUCUGGGAGAGGAAAGGGGAAGAAGGUGGAUUGGGACCUUCCACCUCAGGGUUCCACAGGGUUCUACAAGGUCAAAGGUGGAAGCCUGAUUUGGGAGAGGGACUCAUUUGAAGUGUCUUUUACUGAGUUGAGAAAAGUUUUCCUACGAAAACAAACAAAAGAAAAUAAGGACCUAGAUAAUGUAUCACCAGCAGCGAUUAACCUGUGAAGUCCAUGCAAAGGGACUGAUUAGCUUUUUUAAUCAGUGAAGCAACUGUCAUAAAUCAAAGCAAUAUUUCAGGCUAAGUCUUGAUACUUCCAUUACAGACAAGUAAAUCAAAAUUCAUCCCUUCUGCUACAGAAGUGAAUAAUCUCCACUAGGAAAUAAAUACAAUGUCCACAAUUCUUAGCAUAGUCCAUUUUAUUGUGCAUAGUUGAAAACUGAAAACAGCAAAACUUUAUUCUUCUAUCUCUCCAUCCUUUCAUCAGAAAACAGUGAGGGUUCUCAGAACCCCUGACCCAGAUCAUCUCUACCACUUUAUUUAACUGGGCAGGGGUAUCAAAUACAGCAAACUCCCCCCCAAAUGUAUAAAAUAUUAUAAUGCCUAAAUGCCAAACAGUUGAACUGUUUGAAUUUAUCUUAAAACUAACAUUGAGAUAACACCCAACCAGGUCAGGACAUUCCAGAAACUCUCACAAACCACUUUAAGAAUAUGAAGUUCCCUCUCCUUCUUCCUCAAUACUAAAUAGUUACCAUUACUUUUACUUUUAUGGUAUUCAUUUCUCUGAUGAUUUUCUUGUUGUUGUUGUUAUUUAAUAGUUACAUUACUUAGGCACCCCUAAAAAUAUAUACAGUAGUUUAAUUUUGCCUGCUUUAAAACUUCAUACAAAAGAAAUCAUUUUGUACGUGCUCUGCUGUACGGGCUUAAUUUGCUUGACAUUGUACCUUUAAGAUGCAUCUUUGCUGUAUAUACCUGUAGUUCAUUUUUUUUUUUUGCUGUUAUAUAGUAUUUUGUACUUCUCAUUUAAUUACUAUGCCAUGCAUAUCUCUCUUCUAUACCAUUUCACACUAUUGACUAUAACACAAUUUAUUCCAUUCUAUUUUACUGUUGGUGAACAUUUGAAUUGUUUCUGCUUCUGAGCUAUUAUGAAUAAUGCUGCUCUGAAUGUUACACUGUAUAUGUGCCUAGAGCACCUGCCCACACACUUCAGUGGUGUUUAGGGUACAUGUGGGACUGCUAGGCCACAGAAUAAUUGGAUCUUCAGCAGUAGUAGAUAUGGCCAUACAGAUUUCCAAUUUUCACUCCCAGGAGCAAUGUAUCAAGAUUCCCCACUUCCGGCAUCCUAGCCCUCACUCCUGUAGUUAAGCUUCAAAAUUUCAGCGUGACUACUGGGGGGCGUCCUUUCUUAUGCUUAUUGUCCAUUUAAAUUUCUUCUUUGUAAAAAGAAGAUAAUUUGCCCAUUUUUCUGUGUUUAUAUUGAUUUGGGAAAGUUUGGCCUAUGUUUUGGAUACCAGGCUUUAGCCAUGAUGUGCUCCAAAAAAAAGUCUCCCACUCUGGCCAGCCUCUUUGCUCAAUAGAUUACCUUUAACUUUAAAAAAAAAAAAACAACAACAUAUUUUUAUUUAACUGACACAUAGCAAUUGUACAUACAUUGUGACCAUGUGUAAUGAUCCGAUGAGGGCAAGCAGCACGUCUAUCAUCUCAAACAUUUAUCAUUUGUGUUGGAAACAUUCCAAAUCCUCUCUUCCAGCAAUCUUGAAAAACUCAAUUAAUUGAUAUCAGCCAUGCUUUUGAUGACCAAAAUACAGCCGGGUAACGGAUCCUUUCCUUUAUAGAUUGUACUUAGUGUGAGAAAUCCCUCCUUGUCCCCAGUUCAUGAAAAUAUGCUUCUAUUUUUAUGUUAACAGUUUGCUCUUCGCAUUUAGGGAUAACAGCGAGGCUCUGAGUCUCCACCGGGAGAUGUUCUGCUGUGCAAAGCAAAUGCUCUCGGGAUUUCGGGUGUGGCCUCCGUAACUACCGCUUUCUCUAGAGUAAUUUCUCUAGAUUAAGCCAGAGGCAGCCGGCACAGAGGAAGCCCCACGCAGCCAGUUCCUUUUCCGAGCUGCUCCCAGUGCAACUAAGCCGAGCUCUGCUCUCAAAGCCAGAAGGCGCCGCCCAGCUCCUGAUUUGCCUCUGAUGUCCCCAAAGCAAUUCGCAAAAGGGAAGAAGCCGGCUGCGGUGCGCGAGAGUCCAUGCUGCAGCUGCGGGCCGUGCCUCGCUGAGCCAUCCCUUGUCCAGGGAACGAAUGCUCUAGCAACCAGGAACCGCGUCUGGUGGUGCCUUUGUUUCUUCCGGCAGAUCUCCUAGGGGAUAAGGACAGACCCCUGGAGGGAAGGGGCGGCUUUGGAUGGCCCUCUCUGCUAGGCCUUAUGCCCAGGGCGCACCCCUAGGUGUCUACCUGAGAAUCUGCGGGUGAUUUCUUUUCUUUCUUUUCUCUUUUCCUUUUUUCUUUCUUUCUUGCUUUUUCCCCUAGCCGGUUCUGCCAGCACACCUUUCUGCAAAAAACGAAUGCCCUUCUCCUCCCUCUCUUCUCCCUCCACCCUUCGAGGAAACAAUCUGAGAAGCAAGGAAAAUAUCACUUAUAGGAAAGUGAACAGCGGUGUUACACAUACAAAUGAAAAUUGGGAAGAGAUCUAAAGAUCACUCAAAAGAAAGUAACUUCAAUAGUACAUAUGCGGGGCUGAGGAUGUAGCCCAGUGGUAGAGCGCAGGCUCCAUCCCCAAAUGGAAAACUAGAAAAGGUACCUAUGAAUAGGAGAAAAUACGUCCAGGCUGGGGAAGGGGCGCGGCUCAGUGGUAGAACCUUUCCUAGCUUGCGGUGAGGCCCAGGGUGCUCUAGCACUAC